AACGAACGCUGGCGGCAUGCCUAACACAUGCAAGUCGAACGAGACCUUCGGGUCUAGUGGCGCACGGGUGCGUAACGCGUGGGAACCUGCCCUUAGGUUCGGAAUAACUCCCCGAAAGGGGUGCUAAUACCGGAUAAUGUCUUCGGACCAAAGAUUUAUCGCCUUUGGAUGGGCCCGCGUUGGAUUAGCUAGUUGGUAGGGUAAAAGCCUACCACGGCGACGAUCCAUAGCUGGUCUGAGAGGAUGAUCAGCCACACUGGGACUGAGACACGGCCCAGACUCCUACGGGAAGCAGCAGUGGGGAAUAUUGGACAACGGGCGAAAGCCUGAUCCAGCAAUGCCGCGUGAGUGAUGAAGGCCUUAGGGUUGUAAAGCUCUUUUACCCGGGAUGAUAAUGACAGUACCGGGAGAAUAAGCUCCGGCUAACUCCGUG
rnacentral:rRNA from 1 species